rnacentral:lncRNA from 1 species
UAUGAUCUAUAAAUUUUGAUGAAAUACCAUCUUUUAGUCUUGGUUUAACCCAAGAUGAAAAUAUUAACUUUGUUUCUUCUAAUAUUCAGUCAAAAGGAGGUGUUAUCUUACAAGAGUUGAGAUUGAAGCAGCAAUACGAUCCUCAAAAGUCCAUUGAAAUAAUGAAACGGAAAGUAGUGAGGGAAUCUUUAUCCCCCAAAUCAACAAAAAAAUCAAAAAUCAAUGAAAAAGAGGAAGCUAGAUGAAAAAUCUCAAUCGAAAAAAAUGCAAGUCCGGUUUCAUCUGAUUAUGAAUCUUCAUCUGAAGAAGAAAAAGUUGAGGAGGUAUUGUUGCAUUUGUAAAAUUUUGUAGCAUAGGACAGUUUGUUAAUAUAUGUAUUCUUUAUAUACACUUGAUAAGUUGUGUACUUAUUUUGACUUUCUGUCAAGAUAUGAAAUUUGUACUUUAUUAUGUGAAGAUAUAUAUAAGUUAUGUUAUAGAUAUGUAAUUGGAAAAUUUUCAGGG